UGAACGCUGGCGGCAGGCCUAACACAUGCAAGUCGAGCGGAUGAAGGGAGCUUGCUCCUGGAUUCAGCGGCGGACGGGUGAGUAAUGCCUAGGAAUCUGCCUGGUAGUGGGGGAUAACGUCCGGAAACGGGCGCUAAUACCGCAUACGUCCUGAGGGAGAAAGUGGGGGAUCUUCGGACCUCACGCUAUCAGAUGAGCCUAGGUCGGAUUAGCUAGUUGGUGGGGUAAAGGCCUACCAAGGCGACGAUCCGUAACUGGUCUGAGAGGAUGAUCAGUCACACUGGAACUGAGACACGGUCCAGACUCCUACGGGAGGCAGCAGUGGGGAAUAUUGGACAAUGGGCGAAAGCCUGAUCCAGCCAUGCCGCGUGUGUGAAGAAGGUCUUCGGAUUGUAAAGCACUUUAAGUUGGGAGGAAGGGCAGCAAGUUAAUACCUUGCUGUUUUGACGUUACCAACAGAAUAAGCACCGGCUAACUUCGUG
rnacentral:rRNA from 1 species